GAUUUCUGACUUGUAACACCAGGUCCACUCAUUUUGGGUGCGUAUUUGGCUGUUCGGGUCAUCCUUCCGAUGAGUACCACUGCCUUUCAUUAGGUGGGUGGUGCGCCAUCGGAUCUUUUACUUUGAAAAAAUUAGAGUGUUCAAAGCAGGCAUUUAGCUGUGAAUACAUUAGCAUGGAAUAAUAAGAUAGGACUCCGGUUUUAUUUUGUUGGUUUCUAGAACUAGAGUAAUGAUUGAUAGGGAUAGUUGGGGGUGCUAGUAUUCAACGGCCAGAGGUGAAAUUCUAUGAUUCGUUGAAGACUAACUUAUGCGAAAGCAUU
rnacentral:rRNA from 1 species